UGGCGACGUUCUACACCCGGUGUUUACAGGAGCUGCCGACAAUAAAUAUCACAGAUGUGCAUCGUUUAUGUCGGGAAACAAAAACUCCGACAAGCAGAUUGGAGAAGGGGUUUAGGCUGUAUGCUUCGACCUACAUUCACAGCUACGAAGAUCAAGCUUUGUGAUUCAGCAGCCAAGGGAUGAAAAAAGAAAGAGUUAAUCUAUGGGCUGGAGCAGCUGUCUCUGAGAGGAAAAGAAAAAAAGUGCGACCACUUCUUUUUUCUGGACAGCUGAUUUGGCUCUGGAAACACGGACCAUCUUGUAGAGAAGGCUCAAUCAAAGACCAAAAAGCUAUCAGAUGGUUGUAGCUGGCAAAUCUAUUCACAAAAGACAUUGCAUAAAAAUUUUCAAUUAGAAGUGUACAUCAAAAGUAUACAUUGUUACCAAAAUAAUGUCAACAGUAACUACUAAGAUUAAGAUUUUAUCGUGUAUAUAUAUAUAUAUAUAUAUAUAUUAUGUAGCACGGUGACCUGUAUUUCUUCCAUAUAUCUGUUUCAGCUCCUAUUUUCAUCUCAUAGAAUAAUAACAUGACUUUUUUCAACCAUUUAAAAAUAAACUUUUGUAGACUUGAACUGGAAACACGUCUCUGUAAGUCUUUACACAAAUCUGUAUUAUAAAUGUUGUUUGUUUUUGUACUAUUGGUGUGG
ensembl:lncRNA